UAAAUCUAAUCAAAAGGUUAAUAAAAGUUUUAAUAGAAGAUAUUAUUUUUAAAUGUCCUAAUAAUAUUACUUUUCUUAAAAAAACACUAUAAAUAGUUUAUUGUAGGCAUUGUUAUCUCCAUCAUUCAAGACAACAUGGCAAUGAGCAUCAAUAGAGUGUAUUUUUUCUUCGCUAUUUUAUGCAUUACUUCUGUCAUUACAACUUCAGGAGAAUCACAACCCAUCCCUUGGAAUUAUUGCUAUGGAAAGGGUCCUUGUCCAGGUAACGAUGCCUUGUGUGCUGACAUUUGUAAAGCGACUAAGGGAUUUCAUUUGGGUGGAAAAUGUGGUUGGACUGGUCUAUGUUGUUGUAGGGGUUGUUGUUAGGGAGAUUAAUUAUAUCUUUUUAAAAUAAUUGUAAAAGAAUAAAUAUAUUGAUUUUUAUUAUAUCAUAUGUUUUAAUAAAUUUUUAUAUGUACACACAAAUUGGUGUUAUGAUAUUAAAUCAUACUUAAUAUAAACUCGAAUACAACUCUUUUAUUAGAGUGUCUUCUCAUGCUUCA